UCACAUGCUAAUGAAUCUUUCCAAAUGAC
rnacentral:piRNA from 1 species